AAUUUUGGAAAAGGGGGGCAACCCUGACCCAGCCACGCCGCGUGUGUGAAGAGGGUUUUCGGAUUGUAAAGCACUUAAAGUGGGGAGGAAGGGAAGUAGGUCACUACCUUGCUGUCUUGCCUUUACCGACGGAAUAAGCCCCGGUAAACUCCGUCCAGGUAGCCGCGGUAAUAGGAAGGGUGCAAGCGUUAAUCGGAAUUACUGGGCUUAAAGCGCGGGUAGGUGGUUUGUUAAGUUGGAAGUGAAAGCCCCGGGCUCAACCUGGGAACUGCUUUCAAAACUGGCAAGCUAGAGUAUGGCAGAGGGUGGUGGAAUUUCCUGUGUAGCGGUGAAAUGCGUAGAUAUAGGAAGGAACACCAGUGGCGAAGGCGACCACCUGGGCUAAUACUGACACUGAGGUGCGAAAGCGUGGGGAGCAAAC
rnacentral:rRNA from 1 species